rnacentral:rRNA from 1 species
UUGGGCCGGCGGGCCGGAAAAACCUUACACACAGUGUUUUUUGUUAUUACAAGAACUUUUGCUUUGGUCUGGACUAGAAAUAGUUUGGGCCAGAGGUUUACUGAACUAAACUUCAAUAUUUAUAUUGAAUUGUUAUUUAUUUAAUUGUCAAUUUGUUGAUUAAAUUCAAAAAAUCUUCAAAACUUUCAACAACGGAUCUCUUGGUUCUCGCAUCGAUGAAGAACGCAGCGAAAUGCGAUAAGUAAUAUGAAUUGCAGAUUUUCGUGAAUCAUCGAAUCUUUGAACGCACAUUGCGCCCUCUGGUAUUCCAGAGGGCAUGCCUGUUUGAGCGUCAUUUCUCUCUCAAACCUUCGGGUUUGGUAUUGAGUGAUACUCUUAGUUGAACUAGGCGUUUGCUUGAAAUGUAUUGGCAUGAGUGGUACUGGAUAGUGCUAUAUGACUUUCAAUGUAUUAGGUUUAUCCAACUCGUUGAAUAGUUUAAUGGUAUAUUUCUCGGUAUUCUAGGCUCGGCCUUACAAUAUAACAAACAAGUUUGACCUCAAAUCAGGUAGGAUUACCCGCUGAACUUAAGCAUAUCAAUAAGCGGAGGAAAAGAAACCAACAGGGAUUGCCUUAGUAACGGCGAGUGAAGCGGCAAAAGCUCAAAUUUGAAAUCUGGCACCUUCGGUGUCCGAGUUGUAAUUUUGAAGAAGGUAACUUUGGAGUUGGCUCUUGUCUAUGUUCCUUGGAACAGGACGUCACAGAGGGUGAGAAUCCCCGUGCGAUGAGAUGCCCCAUUCUAUGUAAAAGUGCUUUUCAAAAAAAACAAACUUUGUUUU